CAAAGAUUAGGCCCAAAACAACAUAAUCCAAAAUUGCAAAUGGGUCAACUAUCCAAACCCCUAACCCGAUAGAGAAAAGGAGCAACUUCCUACUUACCGUCGCCCCAUCCCCUCAUGGACGCUUAAGAAGACACCAGAGCCAUUUUGCGAAGAGAAAUAAUAAAUCUCCUAAAUACUGAUGUCAAAAAUGACAUAAAACCACCACUGAAAUUCAAAAGAUUGUUGCUAUCACAUUACUUUCACAAGCUUUAAGGAAAAUAAGUGGUUGACAUAACCCCAAGCCCAGGAGGCAAGCUCCCCAGAAGUUUUGCAUCAACAAUCCAGCAAGCAAGGACCAUUGGCGAUGGGCCUCUUUAGUGUCCCAUUCGCACUUGCUAGGCUGAUCUACUAUACUGCACCCCACAAGUUGCCACACCAGACUACUGGUUCCAUGCUAGAUUGGAGAAAAAGCAACCACACCUACGCAAAAAGCAAUGAAGCUCUAGACCUCACAUUUGAGCAGAUCUACAAAAUCUUCCCUUGCAUGUCAAAAAUCA
rnacentral:misc_RNA from 1 species